rnacentral:rRNA from 1 species
UACGUAGGUGGCAAGCGUUGUCCGGAAUUAUUGGGCGUAAAGCGCACGUAGGCGGAUCGUUAAGUCGGGGGUGAAAUCCUGGAGCUCAACUCCAGAACUGCCUUCGAUACUGGCGAUCUUGAGUCCGGAAGAGGUGAGUGGAACUCCUAGUGUAGAGGUGGAAUUCGUAGAUAUUAGGAAGAACACCAGUGGCGAAGGCGGCUCACUGGUCCGGUACUGACGCUGAGGUGCGAAAGCGUGGGGAGCAAACAGG